GACGAACGCUGGCGGCGUGCUUAACACAUGCAAGUCGAACGGAAAGGCCCUGCUUUUGUGGGGUGCUCGAGUGGCGAACGGGUGAGUAACACGUGAGUAACCUGCCCUUGACUUUGGGAUAACUUCAGGAAACUGGGGCUAAUACCGGAUAGGAGCUCCUGCUGCAUGGUGGGGGUUGGAAAGUUUCGGCGGUUGGGGAUGGACUCGCGGCUUAUCAGCUUGUUGGUGGGGUAGUGGCUUACCAAGGCUUUGACGGGUAGCCGGCCUGAGAGGGUGACCGGCCACAUUGGGACUGGGAUACGGCCCCGACUCCUACGGGAGGCAGCAGUGGGGAAUAUUGCCCAAUGGGCGGAAGCCUGAUGCAGCAACGCCGCGUGCGGGAUGACGGCCUUCGGGUUGUAAACCGCUUUCGCCUGUGACGAAGCGUGAGUGAAGGUAAUGGGUAAAGAAGCACCGGCUAACUACGUG
rnacentral:rRNA from 1 species